UAGGGAAUCUUCGGCAAUGGGGGCAACCCUGACCGAGCAACGCCGCGUGAGUGAAGAAGGUUUUCGGAUCGUAAAGCUCUGUUGUAAGUCAAGAACGGGUGUGAGAGUGGAAAGUUCACACUGUGACGGUAGCUUACCAGAAAGGGACGGCUAACUACGUGCCAGCAGCCGCGGUAAUACGUAGGUCCCGAGCGUUGUCCGGAUUUAUUGGGCGUAAAGCGAGCGCAGGCGGUUUGAUAAGUCUGAAGUUAAAGGCUGUGGCUCAACCAUAGUUCGCUUUGGAAACUGUCAAACUUGAGUGCAGAAGGGGAGAGUGGAAUUCCGUGUGUAGCGGUGAAAUGCGUAGAUAUAUGGAGGAACACCGGUGGCGAAAGCGGCUCUCUGGUCUGUAACUGACGCUGAGGCUCGAAAGCGUGGGGAGCGAACAGGAUUAGAUACCCUGGUAGUCCACGCCGUAAACGAUGAGUGCUAGGUGUUGGAUCCUUUCCGGGAUUCAGUGCCGCAGCUAACGCAUUAAGCACUCCGCCUGGGGAGUACGACCGCAAGGUUGAAACUCUAAAGUGAAUUGAC
rnacentral:rRNA from 1 species